rnacentral:rRNA from 1 species
UACGUAGGGACCAAGCGUUGUUCGGAUUUACUGGGCGUAAAGGGCGCGUAGGCGGCAUAUUAAGUCAGCUGUGAAAUCUCCGAGCUUAACUCGGAACUGUCAGCUGAUACUGAUGUGCUAGAGUGCAGAAAGGGCAAUCAGAAUUCUUGGUGUAGCGGUGAAAUGCGUAGUUAUCAAGAGGAAUACCUGAGGCGAAGGCGGGUUGCUAGGCUGACACUGACGCUGAGGCGCGAAAGCGUGGGGAGCGAUCCGG